GCAAACUUGGUCAUUUAGAGGAAGUAAAAGUCGUAACAAGGUUUCCGUAGGUGAACCUGCGGAAGGAUCAUUACCGAGUUAGGGUCGCCCCCGCGCGCCCGACCUCCAACCCUUUGUCUACCUGACCUUUAUGUUGCUUCGGCAGGCCCGCCGUAACCGCCCUCUCGGGGGUGGGGAGGCCGCCGGGGGUCCCUAUGUGGCCCCGGGCCCGCGCCUGUCGACGGCCCUUCUUAAAACUCUUGUCAUUAAACGUGUCGUCUGAGUUAUAAACAAAAAUUGAAUCAAAACUUUCAACAACGGAUCUCUUGGUUCUGGCAUCGAUGAAGAACGCAGC
rnacentral:misc_RNA from 1 species